rnacentral:rRNA from 1 species
GACGAACGCUGGCGGCGUGCUUAACACAUGCAAGUCGAACGGUGACCCUUGGUGCUUGCACUGAGGUGAUCAGUGGCGAACGGGUGAGUAACACGUGAGGAACCUGCCCCAGACUCUGGAAUAACCCCGGGAAACCGGAGCUAAUACCGGAUACGACACCAGGCCGCAUGGUCAUGGUGUGGAAAGUUUUUCGGUCUGGGAUGGCCUCGCGGCCUAUCAGCUUGUUGGUGAGGUAGUGGCUCACCAAGGCGACGACGGGUAGCCGGCCUGAGAGGGCGACCGGCCACACUGGGACUGAGACACGGCCCAGAUUCCUACGGGAGGCAGCAGUGGGGAAUAUUGCACAAUGGGCGAAAGCCUGAUGCAGCGACGCCGCGUGAGGGAUGACGGCCUUCGGGUUGUAAACCGCUUUUAGUAAGGAAGAAGGGGAGCUUGCUCCUUGACGGUACUUGCAGAAAAAGGACCGGCUAACUACGUGCCAGCAGCCGCGGUAAAAC